AAGUAUGGUAGUAUACUGUGUGAAAUUUGCCCGAUGCCAUUAAUAUAAGAAAAGUUAUGGAUUUGUUUAUUAAAACAAUACUGCGACCUAUCGAAAAUCUGGUUAAUAGCGGUCUUAAUCCUGAGGAUCCUAAGGUAGCAAAAUCAAUUGGCCAUUAAAUGUGGUCCGGUAUCAAUAAUGUAACGAUGGUCUCACUGUCUCUACAACUUGCUCAGUGAAAUUGAAUUACGCGUGCAGAUGCGCGUUGCCUCCAGGGGGACGGGAAGACCCUAUGCAGCUUCUACUGA
rnacentral:rRNA from 1 species